CCUUUUCCAAAAGCAGCCACGGGGCACGUCUGGAUGGACGGGAAGGGAUGGCCUCUGGUUAGAGUUACUUGGGUUGCAUGCUCCUCGUUUGGGGCGAGAGCAAGCCUGAAUCUCAUUUCCUAAAAUGAGGUGGAUGCAAAGGUUGGCUCUAGCAUCCAUAACCUGAUGUCCUUUCCCAUCCAGCAUGCAGGUCAACGUGGCAUCAAAACGUGCCCUUCAAGGAGGAACCAGCGAAUGCUGAAUCGAGAUGGAGCUCCUAGCGGUGAUGCCACCAGCCCUGAGCCUCCUUGGUGGAAUGGCUCUCCCCUUGAUCAAUAAGCCAGGGGCCUGUGGCCUUGGGCCCCCAAACAGCUGAUCUGUUCUUGCCUCUGUUUCAUGUAAUAAAAUCUUGCUGCUUUGUGGAAA